rnacentral:rRNA from 1 species
GGUAGAUAGGUUCGGGGUGGAAGCGUGGCAACACGUGCAGCUGACGAAUACUAAUCGAUCGAGGGCUUAACCUAAA